CCUACGGGUGGCAGCAGUCGAGAAUCAUUCACAAUGGGGGAAACCCUGAUGGUGCGACGCAGCGUGGGGGAAUGAAGGUCUUCGGAUUGUAAACCCCUGUCAUGUGGGAGCAAAUUAUAAAGAUUGUACCACAAGAUGAAGAGACGGCUAACUCUGUGACAGCAGCCGCGGGAAUACAGAGGUCUCAAGCGUUGUUCGGAAUCACUGGGCGUAAGGCGUGCGUAGGCUGUUGCGUAAGUCGUGUGUGAAUGGCGCGGGCUCAACCCGCGGACGGCACAUGAAACUGGGGGACUAGGGUAAAGGCAGGGGAACCGGAAUUCUCGGUGUAGCAGUGAAAUGCGUAGAUAUCGAGAAGAACACUCGUGGCGAAGGCGGGUUCCUGGACAGUAACUGACGCUGAGGCACGAAGGCCAGGGGAGCGAAAGGGAUUAGAUACCCGUGUAGUC
rnacentral:rRNA from 1 species